CACGUAGGGUGCGAGCGUUGUCCGGAAUUAUUGGGCGUAAAGAGCUCGUAGGCGGUGUGUCGCGUCGGCCGUGAAAACCUGCAGCUUAACUGUGGGCUUGCGGUCGAUACGGGCAUCACUGGAGUUCGGCAGGGGAGACUGGAAUUCCUGGUGUAGCGGUGAAAUGCGCAGAUAUCAGGAGGAACACCGGUGGCGAAGGUGGGUCUCUGGGCAUUAACUGACGCUGAGGAGCGAAAGCAUGGGGAGCGAACAGG
rnacentral:rRNA from 1 species